AAAAAUGAAAGGACACCUCCAAGUAAAUAAAUGCUAGUGCCACCAGCUGCUUCCUUAAAUGAAACUAUGAAGGUGAUAAAAGAUUGCUACUGUGUGGCGGCUGGAAACCAAACAACCUAAUUCUACAAGUGAAAAAUUCUAAUAUCUAAAGUAAAAAAAUAACUGCAACUACAUUAAUGCUAUUAGAGCUCCUUCAGCGUUAAAAGCAAGAAAAAAAGAAGAAUACCCGAUGCAGUGCUGAAUCAAAACCAAAGCUAUGUUUAUUCACCAAAUAAAAUGAAGUGUUCUUUCAUUCCUCCCCUGUAACAGCGUUCAAGCAAGCUAUAAAUAUCAUCCGAAAUCCAAUAUUGCAAACAUUAUGAUUUUUUUAAACGUUGAAGCAGCUCCCUACAAAAUGUGUCUCCGCUCCUUUUAAUCCCAAAUGCCGAGAGUGCUUCCAACCAAAAGUGACGGCUGCCUCCUAGGUAACAAUCCCUAGGACAUGAGUCUUAAAAUUGGG
rnacentral:lncRNA from 1 species